rnacentral:rRNA from 1 species
CGGAAAUUAACUUCGGUUAAUUUUAGUGGCGGACGGGUGAGUAACACGUGAGAAUUCGCCUUUAGGAGGGGGAUAACGGAUGGAAACAUUCGCUAAAACCCCAUAUGCCCCUGGGUGAAACAGAGGAGAUAAGUAAUACUGACUCUUACCUCUGCCUGAAGAGAAGCUCGCGGCUGAUUAGCUAGUUGGUAGGGUAAAGGCCUACCAAGGCGACGAUCAGUAGCUGGUCUGAGAGGACGAUCAGCCACACUGGAACUGAGACACGGUCCAGACUCCUACGGGAGGCAGCAGUGAGGAAUUUUCUGCAAUGGGCGAAAGCCUGACAGAGCAAUACCGCGUGAGGGAUGAAGACUUACUGAGUUGUAAACCUCGGUACCUUAAGGAAGAAGAUCUGACGGUACUUAAGGUGGAAAGCAUCGGCUAACUCCGUGCCAGCAGCCGCGGUAAGACGGGGGAUGCAAGUGUUAUCCGGAUUUACUGGGCGUAAAGCGUCUGCAGGUGGUUUUCUAAGUCUACUGUUAAAUCUUGAGGCUCAACCUCAAAUCUGCAGUAGAAACUAGAAGACUUGAGUAUAGUAGGGGUAGAGGGAAUUUCCAGUGGAGCGGUGAAAUGCGUAGAUAUUGGAAAGAACACCGAUGGCGAAGGCACUCUACUGGGCUAUUACUGACACUCAGAGACGAAAGCUAGGGGAGCAAAUGGGAUUAGAUACCCCAGUAGUCCUAGCCGUAAACGAUGGAUACUCGAUGUUGGACGUAUCAACCCGUUCAGUAUCUUAGCUAACGCGUUAAGUAUCCCGCCUGGGGAGUACGCUCGCAAGAGUGAAACUCAAAGGAGUUGACGGGGGCCCGCACAAGCGGUGGAGGAUGUGGUUUAAUUCGAUGCAACGCGAAGAACCUUACCAGGGUUUGCUAGAAGUGUUGGUUUUCUGAAUAGAAUUCCUUAUUCCGCUUCUACAGGUGGUGCAUGGGCUGUCGUCAGCUCGUGUCGUG